GAUGAACGCUGGCGGCGUGCUUAACACAUGCAAGUCGAACGGAAAGGCCCAAGCUUGCUUGGGUACUCGAGUGGCGAACGGGUGAGUAACACGUGGGUGAUCUGCCCUGCACUUCGGGAUAAGCCUGGGAAACUGGGUCUAAUACCGGAUAGGGCCACUUCUUGGAUGUUGUGGUGGAAAGUUUUUUCGGUGUGGGAUGAGCUCGCGGCCUAUCAGCUUGUUGGUGGGGUAAUGGCCUACCAAGGCGUCGACGGGUAGCCGGCCUGAGAGGGUGUACGGCCACAUUGGGACUGAGAGACGGCCCAGACUCCUACGGGAGGCAGCAGUGGGGAAUAUUGAACAAUGGGCGCAAGCCUGAUGCAGCGACGCCGCGUGGGGGAUGACGGCCUUCGGGUUGUAAACUCCUUUCGCUAGGGACGAAGCGUUUUGUGACGGUACCUGGAGAAGAAGCACCGGCUAACUACGUG
rnacentral:rRNA from 1 species